ACGCAUACGCGCCGUGUAUCAACCCCCCGUGUACGCAACAGUUCGCAGGCUGCACACGCACACGCGGCGGGCGCGCACACGCUCACGAUCCGCGCGAGUCCUCGUGCAACAUUGAUCAAUCGGCCAGUGACGCAUGCAGAACGCUCGGAUCGUCGGGUAUAUAAGCCAACCGCCAAAAAGCAGAGGCAUCACAUUCGGUUACUGAUCAUCAGCAGCUGAUCCUCCAAAAGCUCAUCAACCAUGAAGUGCUUCCUCGCUAUCCUCCUCCUGGCUCUCGUAGCCAUUGCUAUGGCGGUGGAGAAGACCCCCGAAGCUACAAAGACGCAGGAGACAACCGCCGAUCCCGGCAGGGACAAGAGAGGCCUCGCGUACUACUCGCCGUACAUAUACUCCCCGUACGCAUACAGCGGCUACAACCUGCCAUACGCGUACUCUCACUACGGCGGCUACCCCUAUUACCGUUACAAUCCCUAUUACAACAGCCCCUACAUCUACUACUAAUCUGAAACAUCGGAAUCCACGGGAUUAAAACGGAAGACGGAAAUCUUAAUUGAAAAACCCCAUUACCUCAUGGAGACCUCACGGAAGAAGUUCUGCUUUCCAAAAUUCAAUUGAUCCCGAAAGCACUGGGUGUAUAUGUUCGCACUUGAGUUCUCUUGACUGUCGGUUUUUUUUUCCUAUGCUUAUUGUAAUAAUAAAAUUGCACUACAUGUGAAAGAAAA